rnacentral:misc_RNA from 1 species
GUGAAUCAUCGAAUCUUUGAACGCACAUUGCGCCCGCUAGUAUUCUGGCGGGCAUGCCUGUCCGAGCGUCAUUUCAACCCUCGGGAGCCCCUUUGCGGGGGCUGCCGGUGUUGGGGAUCGCCCGCCGCCACGGUGGACGUCCCCUAAAACGAUUGGCGGUCUCGCUGUAGCCUCCUCUGCGCAGUAGCACUUGUUCUCGCAGGCGGAGCGCGGCGCGGCCAAGCCGUUAAACCCCCAACUUUUUUACUAGGUUGACCUCGGAUCAGGUAGGGAUACCCGCUGAACUUAAGCAUAUCAAUA